GACUUUAGGACCCAGGAGCGAGUAGCAAGGGCUUAAAGGCUGAGGUGUCCAUAGGGGCGGGUUCUUGUGUUUUCAGUCAGCUGCUUAGCCAGGGAAACGGAGUGGAGUGGAACCGCGAUUACAGAUGAGUGUUGGUGGCCAGUGUGAUGGCGUUCCGUAUGUUGAAGGGUUUGUGCGCAGUCACCAGUAAUUGAAUCACGGAAGCGUCUCUGGAUUUAACGCCGAAUGGGCGUGUAACUAGAAUAUCUCGAUAUCCGCUGGGAACUCUCUCUCACUCUCGCGGCCAGACUGUGCUGGUGUUACAGGGUGUUUGUAUACUGUAAUUGCUGCCGUGUGCUUGGGCGGAUGGCCUAGCCAAACCCGUUGUUAUACCAGGUCCCGUGCGCCCCGUCAUACGUGUGCACUGGCUUCUGUGCGCUCCGGCGUCUGUGUGUGUCUGUUCACACGAGGUUAUUAGAAGCCUUUUGUGAAUGAACCCCGUCUCUCGUUUUGUUUACUUUGUUUGGACAUCCAGCCACUGUUUUCUCAUGUAUGAAACUUAUGUAUGUUUUUAUCAUUCAUUGAUACCAUGCCUAUGAACUUAUAGGGUUAAUGUCAAGCUCUUCCGGUCAUUAAUCUUUUACCAUUGAGAUAAAUUGUUGUGUUUGGGCAGUGUGCAAUAUUACGGGGGACAGGGGAAAGUGCCAGCUUUCGCUGAUCAUCAUAGUAGCACUCACGCACUUUACUUGUUCUCAAAUUUAAGUGGCCAUUGCUUGGGUUCUCGUAGCUAGUGGGCGGAGCUCAAUGCUCAAUGUAUUAAGGUGACCACUGUGUGGUGUGAUUAGAAUUUGUGUGUACUAACAAAGCACUUUAUGGUUAAUGCAGUGUAGCCUUGGUUGCUGUCUUUGGUGUGUUGAAUCCUUUUGGAGCCUUGUGCUCAUGAUGAACUAAAUGUGGAUUUCCUGUCAACAUUGAGUACUGUGGUCCGGCCCAAUAUUUAGUGUAAAUAUCUCCUAUGAAGGCUUGUCUACGAGAACUCAUGUAUGUGUCCAUGAUGUGUUACUACCAUUAAUGUUGUUCCUGUACGAAGCACCUAUUUUAAUAACUCUGCAGACC